UACGUAGGGUGCAAGCGUUAAUCGGAAUUACUGGGCGUAAAGCGUGCGCAGGCGGUCCGUUAAGACAGAUGUGAAAUCCCCGGGCUUAACCUGGGAACUGCAUUUGUGACUGGCGGACUCGAGUAUGGCAGAGGGGGGUAGAAUUCCACGUGUAGCAGUGAAAUGCGUAGAGAUGUGGAGGAAUACCCGACGGCGAAGGCAGCCCCCUGG
rnacentral:rRNA from 1 species